AACCUGGUUGAUCCUGCCAGUAGUCAUAUGCUUGUCUCAAAGACUAAGCCAUGCAUGUCUAAGUAUAAAUGCUAUACAAUGAAACUGCGAAUGGCUCGUUAAAACAGUUGUAGUUUAUUUGGUAAUCGAAUUUACAGGGAUAACCGUGGUAAUUCUAGAGCUAAUACAUGCUAUUAAGCCUGACUUCUUGAAAGGCCGUAUUUAUUAGAUAACAGACCAAUAUUCCUCGUGUCUAUUGUGGUGAAUCAUAGUAACUUUUCGGAUCGCAUGGGUUUUGCCCGCGACAAACCAUUCAAGUUUCUGCCCCAUCAGCUUUCGAUGGUAGUGUAUUGGACUACCAUGGCUUUCACGGGUAACGGAGGAUUAGGGUUCGAUUCCGGAGAGGGAGCCUGAG
rnacentral:rRNA from 1 species